rnacentral:rRNA from 1 species
UACGGGGGGGGCAAGCGUUGUUCGGAAUUACUGGGCGUAAAGGGCUCGUAGGCGGCCAACUAAGUCGGAUGUGAAAUCCCCAGGCUCAACCUGGGAACUGCAUCCGAUACUGGAUGGCUUGAAUCCGGGAGAGGGGUGCAGAAUUCCAGGUGUAGCGGUGAAAUGCGUAGAUAUCUGGAGGAAUACCGGUGGCGAAGGCGGCAUCCUGGACCGGCAUUGACGCUGAGGAGCGAAAGCUAGGGGAGCAAACGGG